rnacentral:lncRNA from 1 species
GGUUGUUGUGAAGAUCAAGUGGGAAGAAGAGUCAUGAGGGCUGCCUUGAGUUCCUCGAUGGAAAAACAGGCUAUCCAUAUAACAAAUAAAACAAUUUAAGUGCACUGUUGAGGACUGCAACAAAGCUUAUGGCAAAUAAUAGAGACAGACCGACUCCUUGUCAUCUUCGAAAAACCAGCAGAGAACCGAAGCAAGUUUACCGAAGUCAAAGGACAGCGACGCCCUGGUGUUCUUUAACUCAGAGCUUCUUUAACUCAGAGUUUUUGGACUGGAAGUUUCAUUAAAAUGCAAAGAACAUGCAACUGCUGUACCAAGUGCAUUUAUUGGAAGAACUCCGUUUUAAACAAACGGUGCCUCAGCUCCUGGAGAAUCGGUAGCCUGGGCGCAGCCACUUCUGUGCUUAUUUAGCCGGAAGUCAGCCUACUGACUUCCGCCGACUCUGGCCAUAAAAGCUUAGGAAAGUUGGCAUCUCUCUUAAAUUCGCUUGUUUGGUUUGAUUGGGAGAAAUAUUGCACCCAAAAAUAACCCGAACCGUUCCAGAGUUGUGUUUUUCCAAAGACUUUCCCAGCUCAUCACCUCCCAUCAGUUCUAACCAAACGAACAGCCGGAGCCACGCCAACCCAAACUGCCCCUCGCAGCUCGAAAAGGCCGGGGCUUUGUUUUGUUUAAAGUUGCUUUUCUGAAAGGGGAAAAAACCAAACAAACAAAAAUAAAAAAAAAAACACGGGGCUUGAAGUUUCCCACGUCAAAAGGGUGGAUUUGGAAGAGGUGCGGGGAGGAGUUGCCUUAUAAACAGAAAAUGAAGAUUUAUUUGCUGUCUGUUCCCAGUUCCCAGCCAAAACUUUUAUGCUCCCACGCAGUUUUGCUUUGUCUUGAUAGAGGAGGUGGAAGCGAAAAGGAGGGAGCAGGAGAUUCCCAGAAGGUUUUAAGAAAAAAAAAGAAAAAACCUGCGAAGUUGUUUGGAAGAAAUAAAGGGGUUUGGGACAGCUCAUUUUCAGUCUGUCCACUAGAAAUAAUGACGACUGCAUGCGUGGGAUUGGCUUCGAAAACUUUAACCCGAAAAGACAGACACCUGCUAGGACUUGCUGUAAAAACAGCUUGUAUUUAUCUUGUAUUUAUCCAAGCUAGCUGUCAUCCUCAGAUAUUUCUCACCUUUAGUGGGCAUAUGUAUAUGUCCCUUCAGUGUCACGCAUUCCGAGUUGUGUGUAGCCUUCAUCUAAAUGGCUGA